rnacentral:rRNA from 1 species
GUUUGAUCCUGGCUCAGAUUGAACGCUGGCGGCAUGCCUUACACAUGCAAGUCGAACGGUAACAGGUCUUCGGAUGCUGACGAGUGGCGAACGGGUGAGUAAUACAUCGGAACGUGCCCGAUCGUGGGGGAUAACGCAGCGAAAGCUGUGCUAAUACCGCAUACGAUCUACGGAUGAAAGCGGGGGAUCGCAAGACCUCGCGCGGACGGAGCGGCCGAUGGCAGAUUAGGUAGUUGGUGGGAUAAAAGCUUACCAAGCCGACGAUCUGUAGCUGGUCUGAGAGGACGACCAGCCACACUGGGACUGAGACACGGCCCAGACUCCUACGGGAGGCAGCAGUGGGGAAUUUUGGACAAUGGGGGAAACCCUGAUCCAGCCAUGCCGCGUGCAGGAUGAAGGCCUUCGGGUUGUAAACUGCUUUUGUACGGAACGAAAAGGUCCUUUCUAAUAAAGAGGGCUCAUGACGGUACCGUAAGAAUAAGCACCGGCUAACUACGUGCCAGCAGCCGCGGUAAUACGUAGGGUGCGAGCGUUAAUCGGAAUUACUGGGCGUAAAGCGUGCGCAGGCGGUUAUAUAAGACAGAUGUGAAAUCCCCGGGCUCAACCUGNGAACUGCAUUAGUGACUGUAUAGCUGGAGUGCGGCAGAGGGGGAUGGAAUUCCGCGUGUAGCAGUGAAAUGCG